AACUCUGAGCUCAAAUCAGGUAGGACUACCCGCUGAA
rnacentral:rRNA from 1 species